rnacentral:rRNA from 1 species
CAGGGAAUCUUCGGCAAUGGACGAAAGUCUGACCGAGCAACGCCGCGUGAGUGAAGAAGGUUUUCGGAUCGUAAAACUCUGUUGUUAGAGAAGAACAAGGACGUUAGUAACUGAACGUCCCCUGACGGUAUCUAACCAGAAAGCCACGGCUAACUACGUGCCAGCAGCCGCGGUAAUACGUAGGUGGCAAGCGUUGUCCGGAUUUAUUGGGCGUAAAGCGAGCGCAGGCGGUUUCUUAAGUCUGAUGUGAAAGCCCCCGGCUCAACCGGGGAGGGUCAUUGGAAACUGAGAGACUUGAGUGCAGAAGAGGAGAGUGGAAUUCCAUGUGUAGCGGUGAAAUGCGUAGAUAUAUGGAGGAACACCAGUGGCGAAGGCGGCUCUCUGGUCUGUAACUGACGCUGAGGCUCGAAAGCGUGGGGAGCGAACAGG